rnacentral:misc_RNA from 1 species
GAAAUGCGAUAAGUAAUGUGAAUUGCAGAGUUUAGUGAAUCAUCGAAUCUUUGAACGCACAUUGCGCCCCUCGGUAUUCCGACGGGCAUGCCUGUUCGAGCGUCGUUUGCAUACCCUCAAGCGGAAUUCAUGUCGGCUUGGUCUUGGGCUUUGCGUCCCCUUCGCCGCGGUCGCGAACUGGGGGGGACGGGCCCCGAAGCGAGCGGCGGCCUAGGAUGCACCGCCGGAGCGUCUUCGUGACAAACCUCGCUCCGGCGCGCGCCUCCCGGGGCCGCCUUAACAAAAAACGAUCACAAAAGUUCCGACCUCGGAUCAGGCAGGGAUACCCGCUGAACUUAA